rnacentral:misc_RNA from 1 species
UCCUUAAUCGUUCCAGUCUUCCAUUUCCCGAAAAGGAAAGCAACGUCGAAGGGACCCAAGCCUUUCUUCUUUUUCACCCUAUCUGGAAGCAAGGGAGCUGCUUGUUAAUGGCAGAUAUGAUCGUUUCCGCCGCAAUCGAUUGCGUAAUCAACAAAUUGACCUCUUCGGACAUCCUAGAGUCCGCCGGUGGAGCCCAGGUCCAAGUGGAACUCGAAAAAAUGGAGAAAACGCUUUCCAAAGUAAAGGCGGUGCUGGCAGAUGCUGAAGAUAAGCAGAUUAGUAACCGUCUCGUUAAGAUUUGGCUGAGAGAGCUUCGAG